AGUUAUGGCUUAAAUCUGAGGAUAAAGGUGUUGCGCAAUUAUCAUCAAUGUGGAUGUCUGAUGCCAGUAUACCCAUAGUGGAGCAAUAUAUAAGACGGCAAAUAAAACUGAUGUAAACUAUGCCAGUAGUUGGAUAAAACAUCCGAAGUCGACACAGUCAAAGGUCACAACAACAAUGGAGGAAUUAACUGCAUCCUCAUUCCUCAGGGCAACAGGCCAUUGUGAACAACCCCAUAAAUUUUUAAUUGAGGCUAAGUGCCCAUUUUUAGCUUGAACAAUGGCAAUUAAAGAGGCCUGUGCAAAUUUUGGUAUUUCCUUCUUGAAUGUGAUGCAAGGGAUGGUUCGCUGCACCUCAAAACAAAAUAUGAAUAUUGGCAUCAGAUUCAAGGAUGCAACAACACCUGAAAGACACCCAAUGCUGUGAUUUGCUAGUGUGGAUUCCUUGUGACACUCAAAUAGUUCACAUUGAUAAAGAUGUAUUAUGGUCAACAAAGAUUUUAAAUGUGAUAGAGUUUAAUUAUAAUAAUAAAGUAUUUUUUGCAGUCUAAAACACAGACAAAUAACCGCAUGUUCAUAUACUUUAUUAUGAUAUCAGUGGUGCAUCUAUCAAAGUUAUGUAAUUACAUGUAUACUAUUGAAAAAACAUUAUAGACAGAGUUUUUCUUAUUGUAGAUAAACCAAAAUAUAUGUAUAGACACAGUG